GACGAACGCUGGCGGCGUGCUUUACACAUGCAAGUCGAACGGAAAGGCCCUGCUUUUGUGGGGUGCUCGAGUGGCGAACGGGUGAGUAACACGUGAGUAACCUGCCCUUGACUUUGGGAUAACUUCAGGAAACUGGGGCUAAUACCGGAUAGGAGCUCCUGCUGCAUGGUGGGGGUUGGAAAGUUUCGGCGGUUGGGGAUGGACUCGCGGCUUAUCAGCUUGUUGGUGGGGUAGUGGCUUACCAAGGCUUUGACGGGUAGCCGGCCUGAGAGGGUGACCGGCCACAUUGGGACUGAGAUACGGCCCAGACUCCUACGGGAGGCAGCAGUGGGGAAUAUUGCACAAUGGGCGGAAGCCUGAUGCAGCAACGCCGCGUGCGGGAUGACGGCCUUCGGGUUGUAAACCGCUUUCGCCUGUGACGAAGUGUGAGUGACGGUAAUGGGUAAAGAAGCACCGGCUAACUACGUG
rnacentral:rRNA from 1 species